UACGAAGGGGGCUAGCGUUGUUCGGAAUUACUGGGCGUAAAGCGCACGUAGGCGGAUUUGUUAGUCAGGGGUGAAAGCCCUGGGCUCAACCUAGGAAGUGCACUCGAAACUGCGGAGCUUGAGUCUCGGAGAGGGUCGCGGAAUUCUCGGUGUAGAGGUGAAAUUCGUAGAUAUCGAGAGGAACACCGGUGGCGAAGGCGGCGACCUGGACGAUGACUGACGCUGAGACGCGAAAGCGUGGGGAGCAAACAGG
rnacentral:rRNA from 1 species